rnacentral:rRNA from 1 species
CCUACGGGGGGCAGCAGUGAGGAAUAUUGGUCAAUGGGCGGGAGCCUGAACCAGCCAAGUCGCGUGAGGGAAGACGGUCCUACGGAUUGUAAACCUCUUUUGCCGGGGAGCAACGGGGUCCUUGCGAGGGCCCGAUGAGAGUACCCGGAGAAAGCGCAUCGGCUAACUCCGUGCCAGCAGCCGCGGUAAUACGGAGGAUGCGAGCGUUAUCCGGAUUUAUUGGGUUUAAAGGGUGCGUAGGCGGAAUGCCAAGUCAGCGGUAAAAUCGCGGGGCUCAACCUCGCUCCGCCGUUGAAACUGGCGUU